UACGAAGGGGGCUAGCGUUGUUCGGAAUUACUGGGCGUAAAGCGCGCGCAGGCGGUCUUCCAAGUCAGUGGUGAAAGCCCGGAGCUCAACUCCGGAACUGCCAUUGAAACUGUUGGACUUGGGGAUGAGAGAGGUGAGUGGAAUUCCCAGUGUAGAGGUGAAAUUCGUAGAUAUUGGGAAGAACACCGGUGGCGAAGGCGGCUCACUGGCUCAUUACUGACGCUCAGGCGCGACAGCGUGGGGAUCAAACAGG
rnacentral:rRNA from 1 species